AUGGCAUCAUCCAGCUCCACCACCGCACCCAGCCUCAACACCCAAGUCACCGAGAAAUUAACUCGGGACAAUUUCAUCCUCUGGCGUGCACAGGUGCUGCCACAGAUUAGGGGCGCUGGGUACUUUGGCUACCUUGAUGGAUCCAUCGCCAAGCCAGAUGAGAAGCUCGUCUCCACCGACAAAGAAGGAAAGGAGGUGGCCGUCCCCAACCCUGCAUAUGCGAUCUGGCUGUCCCAGGACCAGGUCGUGUUGGGCUAUCUCCUGAACUCGCUAAGCAAGGAGGCGCUGAUCCCUGUUGCCGCGCUCGAAUCUGCACAGGAGGUGUGGAAGGCGCUUGGCAACAUGUUCGCCUCUGCUUCACGAGCUCGCAUCAACAACCUAAGAAGCUCCCUCGUCAACGCCCAGAAGGGGAGCCAAACUGCAGCAGCCUUCUUCAUCCGCAUGCGCUCCUAUGCCGAUGAACUCGCUAUGGCGGGAAAACCGGUGACUGAUGAUGAACUCGUCUCGUUCAUCACAUCAGGCCUUGACAUGGAGUACAACCCUCUUGUGUCGGCACUGGAUAACAGGACGGAGCCCAUUACUCCCGAUGAACUCUUUGGACAACUGUCCAACUUCGACCAGCGGCUCGAGCGUCUUCAAGGAGCAGGCUCGAACGGCUUCCGGUCGUCCGCAAACGCAGCAGCACGCGGGCACGGUGGCCAUCCUUCACGCGGGCGAGGCAUGCCUCGCGGUCGAGGCAAUGGAGGCCGAGGCGGCCAAGGUCGCGGUGGACGCCCCUUCUACAACAACCCUAGGGGCGGUCAGCGGCAGGGAGGCCAAGGUGCUGCACGUGGUGGCCAAGGUGCUGCACGCGGCAAUGGAGGCGGCACCCAAGGCACCAAUGGUGAGGAUCAGAGAAUCCAACAAUGUCAAAUCUGCAAGAAGUAUGGCAAGCACAUUGCCAGCGAGUGUUGGUGGCGUUACGAAGAUGACGACAACCAUCAACAAGGCGAACACAUGGCUGGCUCCGCCAACACCAACUCCUACGGGAUCGACACCAACUGGUAUGCUGAUAGUGGAGCCACCGACCACAUCACCAGCGAGCUAGAGAGGCUGACGUACCACGACAAGUAUCGUGGACAGGAACAAGUACACACUGCCGGAGGUACAGGUCACGAGGAGAAUAAUAUACCAAGGCAGAUGUGA
rnacentral:rRNA from 1 species